rnacentral:lncRNA from 11 species
CCAGGAUAGGAUGUAAUUCUAUUUUAAUAUUUAUAUUUUGCAGGUUUUUAUAUAUUGCAUUGCUUUUCAGGUUGAGAGCUGCCUCCCUGUGCUUUUGACUCUCAGGCCGUGGAGAAAGGUCACAUCGUCUCGUGUCUUUUAAUUAGAGAGAAAUGAGCCUUAAACGAGCUCUUGCAAGGUCUCUGCCCGCAAGGAACACGGCCAAUUAAAAGGAUUGUGCUUGGCAUGCGGAUGGGUCUCGGAAUUGGGGAAGGAGAGAAGACAGCGACAUGGACGUAAACGAUGGAGAAAGCCUCCCUUUCCAAUCAGGCGUCCUCCGAAUAGCUUGGAUUAUAACCCAUCAUCCCCAGCACUUGGAAAGCGAGGAAAAAAGACUCACGGAAGGCACUUUGCUAAUAUCAAGCCCGAU